rnacentral:lncRNA from 1 species
CUCCUACUUAUAGUUCACCAAAAUAAAUAAAUAAAAUCUUGGCUCUUGGUUCACACCAUUUCUACCUUUUAUAAGUUGUAUGCGUGCAAAUAAGGAAAAGUAAACCUUCAAGCAUUUAUUGUAACACUCGAUCAUUUGGAAUGACGGUUCCAUUUCUUUAGUUAUUCCCUUGUGAGUUAUAAUGUUAUUUUUCAUUGGGUCAUUUUUAUGCAGACUAACUAUGGAUCGAUCUAUCUAUCUCUACCGCCUUCAAUAGCUUCGAUAUUCUCUCAUGUCAUGCAUCAUAGGUACAUGUCUCUUCUGUCCUCUCCUCUCCUCUCCUCUAAAAUUGAUCGCAUAGUUUUCAUUUUAUAGGAUAAUUUUACUUCUCUCUUUCAAUUCGGCAAGACAUCUAACUUGUUUCAUCCAUUUGUAUUUAAUCAGAUCUGAUUUUGGUUAUAUUUGGUGAUUUUAGUGCUCAAUCAAUUUUGAUUAUAUAUGCACCACAAACACACAACUCCCAAUAGCAUCAUAAUAAAAGAUUGCUUUCAUGUUUCUGCUAUAGAAACUUAUAUGUACAAGGGCAGUUCGAAUUUUAUUAGUCGUGUAAAUUUGGAUUCGAGAUGGGGAUAUGGCCUAUGGGUAUCAUUAUUUAUUGUUUAACUCAUAAAAUUGUUGUUCAUUAAACUCGGCCCUUUUUCAAAAACGUCUUCGUCAACUUAGUACAAAACCUAAAUGACAAACAAUAAAUGAUGAUCCUCAUUUCCCAUCCCCAAUCCAAAUUUACACAACUAAUAAAAUUCAAACUGGCCUUGUACAUAUUACAAGUUUCUAAUUACAAAGGGAUAGCAGAAACAUGAAAGCAAUCUUUUAUCGUUACAAGUUCAAAUGGCCUAAUAAUUCUGCUUCGGCAAACCAAUAGAAUACAGAUAAUAAAACGUCUCUGACCAGCCAAUUUUAAUUUAAGAGCGAGUAUUACCCAGAAAUUCAACAAGAAGUUGAUUGAUUAACCAGUUAAUACCCAUAGAUCCAAUUAUUUUAUGAUACUCCUGAGCACCAAAAUCAUCAAACAUAACCAAAAUCAGAUUUGAUUAAAUACAAAUGGAUGAACAAAGUGAAGAAAUAAGUAAACUGAAGUUAGAUGUCUUACCGAAUUGAAAGAGAACAGCACGGGAAGCAAAAUUACCUAGAAAAUGAAAACUAUGGUAUCAAUUUUAGAGGAGAUGGAGGAGAGAAGGGAGAGGACAGAGGAGCGAGAAGAGAGAGAAAAGAGAAAGAAAGACAUGUACCCACAACGGAUGCUAUGAGAGGAGACCAAAGCUAUUGAAGGCAAUAGAGAUAGAUAGAUCGAUGGUUAGUCUGCAUAAAAAUGAGCAAGGCUUGAAACGGAAUGAAGUAAACCUACCUAUUAAGAUGGGAAUGAAAAAUAACAUUAUAACUGGGAAGGGAAUAACUUAAGGAAUGGAAUGGUCAUUCCAAAUGAUUAACCAAACUUCUUUUAAGUCAUUCAUGAAGGAAUCCCAGUCCAUUCCAUUCCAUUCCCACUGACCAAACAUAGUAUAAGAGUUGGGAAAAUGAACACAGACUUGCUCUUUGCUUACUACACUCAGCUUUUGGAUCCAGCUAUGUGAGUUAAAUUCAACAACAAAAAAAGGAGUGGUACAUUAGAUAAUGUUCUCUUCAUUGAAGGAAUUGGGGGGAUAAAUGAAAGCAUCCACACAUUUUAGAUGUUUACUUGAGGUGGAAGAACCCAAUAAAAGCUGCUUGGAGAAUCUAUGAAUUUUACUCGCAAAAAUCAGCAACGCAACUUUCAUCUUGGCAGCUUUAGAAAGAGAUUGUCUAGCUACACUUCUCUAAGUAUGGGCAAACCUUUUCUCACAAUAUCGUUAAUCUUUGCAUCCAGUCUCUUCUGAAUCCUCCAUGGACAAAGCUCUGCUGCAUAGCUAUUUAGUUUUGCUGCCAAGCUGGAAGUUUGAAGCUCUUCUUCAGGUAAGUUUCCCAUCAGCUGAAGAAGGAAGUGGUUUCGUUUUAACUCAAAUUUCUGAAAAUUUUCAAAACAUGGAUUUUCAUAAGUGUUUCAGUAUUUGAUACAUUUAUAUUUUCGAAAACGAGGUACCAUAAAAAAAUGGCCAGAAAUCAGAAAGCCACAAAGGUGCAUUGUAAUUUGUAAGGUGAAUCACAGUCUGUAAUCUGUAUAAAAUAUUCCAUAUGCUUCCAGUCACAUCCAUGCAUUUUGUUAUCAAACAAAAAAAACAAGGAGAAAAAGAAUUCUAGCUUAUAUAUGUUUCGCCUCUGAUGUAAUUUCUGUUAAUUGUGAAACUACUGAGUCACGUUUAACAAGUAU